rnacentral:rRNA from 1 species
UACGUAGGGGGCGAGCGUUGUCCGGAUUCAUUGGGCGUAAAGCGCGCGUAGGCGGCCCGGUAAGUCGGAUGUGAAAUCUCACGGCUCAACCGUGGAACUGCAUUCGAUACUGUCGGGCUAGAGGCAGGUAGGGGAGAUCGGAAUUCCCGGUGUAGCGGUGAAAUGCGCAGAUAUCGGGAGGAACACCGGUGGCGAAGGCGGAUCUCUGGGCCUGUCCUGACGCUCAGGCGCGAAAGCUAGGGGAGCGAACAGG